UCGCGUUAAUAAUCGUGGAUUUUCGAUUGAUUAGGCAGAGAAUUCAUUCGGAGACGUGAGUGAGAAGGUGGUGACUGAUUUUGGUUGUGGCUGUGGUACAUUGGGUGUUUCAGCUGCACUCUUGGGUGCAGAGAGGGUUUCGUCUUUCCCAGUGUUGUUUUAACUUGAGUAUUAGUUGAAAAUUCGAUAACCCUUUUACUUUGUUAGUCGAAAUUGAAGGUUAUUACGGAUCAAGUUUGUGAAUCUCGAAUGAAUACUUUUUUCGUUUUGUUGUCGGUGUAAUGUGUCCUUGCUUUGAACAGACAGGUGAUUGGCAUUGGCAUUGAUGCUCAAUCACCUGAAAUAGCAGCGGAAAAUGCCAUGGAUCUUGAGGCAUUUCAUGGACGAAAAAAGCUCCGACAAUUUGCUGUAUUGAAUCAUUUUGUGCAUCGGUGCUGAUCGACUAAUAUAUUGUUCUGUUGGUAAUCCUGCAGUUGGAUGUGGAAUUUAUACAGUGCAACAUUAAGAACUUAGGAUGGAGAGCCGACCUUGUUGAUACUGUUGUAAUGAAUCCCCCAUUUGGAACUCGGAAGAAGGGUGCUGACAUGGAUUUCCUCUCAGUGGCUUUGAAGAUUGCUACUCAAGCAGUUUAUUCCUUGCACAAAACCUCCACAAGGGAUGUAAGCCACACGCCUUGCGCGUUAACAAGUAAUUUUAACUUGCUUUCUGACUAUUACCCCCUCAACACGGGUCCUCACCAUUGGUUUAGAUGGUUUUUUACUGUGCCCACAUGAUGUGAUCACUUCCCUUUUGGUCAAUUGCAGCAUGUGAAAAGGGGAGCUCUGCAGAACUUCAAUGCUAGCAGUGCUGAAGUUUUAUGUGAGGUGGGUCAAAAUAAGCUUAUUUCAAAUUUUCGCGGUGGUUAAGGACACUGCGCUGUUCUGUUUUAUGAGAUGAGUGAGCAUGCUUUUGUUGUU